UUGAUGAAUUUAACCUGAAGAAUUGGAUAUUAUUAUUAUUCGUGGUUUUGUAUUUGUUUAAAUAAAUAUAUUGAGUUUAUUAUUUUUUCGAAAAAUUUAUUUUAAUUAUAGUUAACUAGUAUCGUGAGAGGUUUAUUUUAUUCAUUUAAAAGAAGAAUUUACUCUUUGUACCUUGUGUAUCAGGGUUUACUAAAUUUAUAUAAAAAUUUAUUUGUCCCGAAUUUAGAUAGAGCUAGUUGUGUAUAUUUUUUAAUGUGUCAUAAUUAUUAAGAAUACUCAACUGGUAAUUAAAUGUUAUUCGUUUCUAAGUAUAUCUGGUUUUUUUAGAAAUAAAUUUAAUUUAUUAAUUUUUAUUAUAUUUUUAAUUUAUUAAUCGUAUAAUAUAAAUUAAUUAAUAGUAAUGGGAUAAGCUUUUACUAUUUUAUUAUUUAUAUUUUAAAGUUCAAUAGUUGUAGGAUUAAAAGUUUCUAUCGUUGAAAUAGUGUUAUAACUUGUUUAGUUUAAUAUUAAUAUUUAAAUUAAGUAAUAAUUUUUUUAUAAAAAAAAGAGUUUUAAUUUAAAAAAUUUUGAUAAAAUGAUAGAAUUAGUAUAUUUAUUUGUAUAUUUAUAUCGUUUUUUGUGAACAUAAAAAGGAAUUCGGCAAAUUUAUUUUCCACCUGUUUAUUAAAAACAUGUCUUUAUGAUGAUAAUAUAAAGUCGGGCCUGCCCAAUGAUUAGAUUUAAUGGCCGCAGUAUUUUGACUGUGCUAAGGUAGCAUAAUCAUUAGUUUUUUAAUUGAAAACUGGAAUGAAAGGUUUGAUGAGAAAAAAGCUGUCUCUUUAUUUUGUAUAGAAUUUUAUUUUUGAGUUAAAAAGCUCAAAUUUUCUUGAGGGACGAGAAGACCCUAUAGAGUUUUAGGAUUAAUUUAUUUAAAGAAGUAUUGCUUAUUAUAUAAUUUAUUUAUUUAAUCUUUUGAUUGGGGUGAUUGAAAAAUUAAUUAAACUUUUUCUUGGAUAAACAUUAAUUAAUGAUUAAAUUGAUCCUGUAGAACUGAUUAAAAGAAAUAAUUACCUUAGGGAUAACAGCGUAAUCUUUUUUUAGAGCUCUAAUCGAGAAAAGGGGUUGCGACCUCGAUGUUGGAUUAAAAUUAACUUUAGGUGCAGAAGCUUAAGGGUUUAGUCUGUUCGACUAAUAAAAUUUUACAUGAUCUGAGUUUAGACCGGCGUGAGCCAGGUUGGUUUCUAUCUUCAAUAAAUGGGGCGGCCCUAGUACGAAAGGACCGGG
rnacentral:rRNA from 1 species